UACCCUGAGCGGCGGAUCACUUGGCUCGUAGGUCGAUGAAAGACGCAGCAAACUGCGCGUC
rnacentral:rRNA from 1 species